rnacentral:tRNA from 1 species
GGGCUGUAAGCUCAGUGGCAGAGCCUCUACCGAAAGCCCUGGGUUCAAUUCUCAGUGGCAUCU